AGCAGCCGCGGUAAUUCCAGCUCCAAUAGCGUAUAUUUAAGUUGUUGCAGUUAAAAAGCUCGUAGUUGAAUUUCGGGAUUAGUACGUUGGUCGUGCCUUAGGUACGUACUGGUGUUACUGGUUCCUACCUUCUGACGAACCAUCAUGUCAUUAAUUUGGUGUGGCGGGGAAUCAGGACUGUUACUUUGAAAAAAUUAGAGUGUUUAAAGCAGGCUCGCGCUUGAAUACAUUAGCAUGGAAUAAUGAAAUAGGACGUUGACCCUAUUUUGUUGGUUUCUAGGAUUGACGUAAUGAUUAAUAGGGAUAGUUGGGGGCAUUAGUAUUCAAUUGUCAGAGGUGAAAUUCUUGGAUUUAUUGAAGACUAACUACUGCGAAAGCAUUUGCCAAGGAUGUUUUCAUUAAUCAAGAACGAAAGUUAGGGGAUCGAAGACGAUCAGAUACCGUCGUAGUCUUAACCAUAAACUAUGCCGACUAGGGAUCGGAUGAUGUUAUUUUUAAUGACUCAUUCGGCGCCUUACGG
rnacentral:rRNA from 1 species